rnacentral:tRNA from 1 species
GCCUGACUGGCUCAGUCAGUGGAGCACGUGACUCUUGAUCUUAAGGACAUGAGUUUGAGUCCCAUGUUGGGUG